rnacentral:rRNA from 1 species
AUUGAACGCUGGCGGCAUGCCUUACACAUGCAAGUCGAGCGGCAGCGCGGGGGCAACCCUGGCGGCGAGCGGCGAACGGGUGAGUAAUACAUCGGAACGUGUCCUGUCGUGGGGGAUAACCAGUCGAAAGAUUGGCUAAUACCGCAUGACCUCGUAAGAGAAAAGCGGGGGAUCGCAAGACCUCGCGCGAUUGGAGCGGCCGAUGUCGGAUUGGCUAGUUGGCGGGGUAAAAGCCCACCAAGGCGACGAUCCGUAGCUGGUUUGAGAGAACGACCAGCCACACUGGGACUGAGACACGGCCCAGACUCCUACGGGAGGCAGCAGUGGGGAAUUUUGGACAAUGGGGGCAACCCUGAUCCAGCCAUGCCGCGUGUGUGAAGAAGGCCUUCGGGUUGUAAAGCACUUUCGGCCGGAACGAAAUCGCGCGGGUGAACAUCCCGCGUGGAUGACGGUACCGGAAGAAGAAGCACCGGCUAACUACGUGCCAGCCGCCGCCGUAA